rnacentral:lncRNA from 1 species
GGCAGUUCAGGGGUAUUCUGGUUGCCUUACCCAGCUCUGAAGUCUGUCAGCCUCUUCAGAUGUCACUUGCCAUGUGGUAAGGAAGUGUAGUCAGCAGCUGGUGCAGUGGGAAGAAGAGAAAGGAAGUUCCCCAAGACAAAAACAUCUCGGCAGACCGUGAUCAUGGGCUACAUUCUCCGUACCAGCUUCAUAGCUCCAGUGAGAAAAUAAAUUCCUGCAUCCAGGAGAUGUGGAGUAAGAGAUACAGCUGCCCUUGACCAUAUUUCUUACUUCCGAGAAGAUCGUAGCAGUAAUUCAGAAUCUCAUCCAGGAUACCUCAUCACAGGCUGGAGUGCAGUGUCAUGAGCUUGGCUCACUACAGCCUCCAUCUUCUGUGCUUAAGGAUCCUUCCCUCUCAACCUCCAAGGUAGCUGAGACUACAGGCAACAUUCGAAACCCAGGUGCCACUCCUUCAGGAAGGUACCAUCAAGCUCCAAGGACUCAUCCUCUUUCUCCUUCCCCACUACCUAGUCAUUAGAGCGUCAGCAUCCACUUCCUGAAAGGAAGAUGCCUGUUUUUCACAUAUCCCAGAAAGCCUCAUUUUAGGACAGCAUUUAGCAGAGUGUAUUCAGGAUCCCACUAACCUUUUCGGAAGACAUGACUUCCAGAUGAUAUAAGGCUCCAUCAGGAACUGUGCAGGACUGUGCACUCUGUUGAUACUCACAUGGUGGAAUUAUAUUGCCCUUGGCCAACCCUAAAGCCAUCAAGAUAGCAGAAUUAAUGAAGGAUCAUUAUUAAGUUUUUAAUGGGUCAAGAGAAAGUUACCACUGAGGUCUUCUCUACCUGGGCAACAAUUGACUCCUAACAACCACUAUAAGCUUGGAAGAUGAUCCCUCCCCAGCUGAUCCUUCAGGUCUCUACUUUUUGUAGCCUGGGGAUUUUCUACUCCCCCAACAGCCAGAUGAGGCAGAAACCCCUACAGACAUCCCUAUGUGCCUCCUGUGCAAGUGCAGUUGCCCCUUGAAGGCAGUUCUCCUGCUGCAGACCACGCCCACCAAGGGCAGAGUCACAGCCACUGCAGCUGAGCUCAGAGCCUUCUGUGGGGUCUGCAGGGGCAAGGCCAGCUGUCCCCUGGGAUAGUUUGAAGAAUGCAGUUUGUUUGUAUAAUAAAGAUGUUUCUCUACGUCAUUCA